AAAAUAUUGAUGGCAGAUUGGUUUCUGCAGCGACAUUUCAAGAUUGGCACUGACCUGAAUAAAAUACGGAACAUUGGCAACUACAAUAUUGAGAUGUGGAAAGCAACUGGUAUGAACCUUGACAAAGUAGAGGUUGUAUGGUUGUCAGAUGAAUUGAAUUGCCACGCGGUUAAUUACUGGCCACUUGCGGUUGAUGUCUCCAGAAAAUACAGCAUGGAAAAAAUGGCAAGUUAUUGUCGGAACAGGACAUAUGGGCCACAAGGACUACCUGCUGCUGAGAUUUUCUACCCUUGCAUGCAGGUUGCUGCUAUAUUAUGCCAGAAGGCUGACAUAUGGCUCUUCAGCAUGGAUCAGCGAGACAUUGUCAUGCUAGCUAAGGAUUACUCCGAAGAAAUAAAUAGGGAAACCAAACCAGCUAUCAUACUGCAUAAUACGUUACCUCUUUUACCAGAAGACCCUGACUUGAACUCGCUGAGAUAUCCAGCGCGGACUCUGUUCAUGGACGAUGCACAGGAGGCUUCAAAUAGGAAAAUAGAGUUGGCUUUCUGCCCACCAAAAGUAACAGUGUCUAACCCAUUUCUGGAGUACAUCAGAUAUGUUAUAUUCCCUUGGUUUGGAAAAUUGGAGGUAGCUGACAAGAAAGGGAAUGGCAGUAGCAAGACAUAUGCAAGCAUGGAAGAUUUUGUUGUUGACUAUGGAAGUGGCAAUCUUGAUUCUGCUGAUGUUAAGCUG
rnacentral:rRNA from 1 species